rnacentral:rRNA from 1 species
GAUGAACGCUAGCGAUAGGCUUAACACAUGCAAGUCGAGGGGCAGCAUGGUCUUAGCUUGCUAAGACUGAUGGCGACCGGCGCACGGGUGCGUAACGCGUAUGCAACUUGCCUCACAGAGGGGGAUAACCCGUCGAAAGACGGACUAAUACCGCGUACACUUGGGAUAGGGCAUCCUGGCCCAAGGAAAUGAAAUUCGCUGUGAGAUAGGCAUGCGGGCCAUUAGCUAGUUGGUGAGGUAACGGCUCACAAAGGCGACGAAGGGUAGGGGACCUGAGAGGGUGAACGGCGACAUGGGGACUGAGAUACGGCCCAGACUCGUACGGGAGGCAGGAGUGGGGAAUAUUGCAGAAUGGGCGGAAGCCUGAUGAAGCAACGCCGCGUGAGGGAUGCCGGCCUUCGGGUUGUAAACCGAUGUAGCCGGUGACGAAGCGUGAGUGACGGUAAUGGGUAAAGAAGCACCGGCUAACUACGUG